ACAGCAGUCGCCACGGUAAUACGUAGGUGGCAAGCGUUGUCCGGAAUUAUUGGGCGUAAAGGGCUCGCAGGCGGUUUCUUAAGUCUGAUGUGAAAGCCCCCGGCUCAACCGGGGAGGGUCACUGGAAACUGGGAAACUUGAGUGCAGAAGAGGAGAGUGGAAUUCCACGUGUAGCGGUGAAAUGCGUAGAGAUGUGGAGGAACACCAGUGGCGAAGGCGACUCUCUGGUCUGUAACUGACGCUGAGGAGUGAAAGCGUGGGGAGCAAACAGGAUUAGAUACCCGCGUAGUCCCUGUCUCUUAUAC
rnacentral:rRNA from 1 species